UGGACACAUAACGUGCAUGAUGAGAACGAAAAAUUGCCUAUAAAUAGAGAUUUUCCAAUCUCUUUUCCUCACAACCCUUUUCUCUAAUCUCUCUUAACCUCAAAUCUCUCCUAAUCACCACAUUCUACAUAAUUGUUUCUCUGUGUUGUGUUAUUUUUACAUUGUGGAUUCUUUCUUUAUUCCGUUUUUCUUUUUUCUAACCUUUUCCAGUGAGAGAGUCCUUGAGUAGUGAGAGUUUUUUUAUUAUUUAUUUUUAUUUAUUCAUGGCCAGCUGUCCUAAAAGAU
rnacentral:lncRNA from 1 species